GGAAAAUAGAAACCGUAAAAAAAAUCAGAAAGGAAUAGAAAGAAAGUUUUCCUCAGCCACAGUGAGUCACCAACGGGGACAUGAGCAAAAGCCUCGUGGGGAGCUGGGCAGGGGGUGGGGGCAGGGAGUUGGGGGCCCUCUGCCCCCAAGUGUCUGGGCAGGUGGAGAGCAGGAUGGACUGCUGUCCAGGCCGGGCCAGGACCCCCCGGUCCGUGGGUGGCGCUGGGACCCCUCUUCACUUUCAGACUCGCACCCUGGAAGGCCCUAGAGCUGGGCCCAGGUUCUGCCUGGGGGCAGGGAGGCAGCCACAGGGCCUGUGAGUCUGGCAACUAGCCAGACUCCCCAAGGGUAGCACAAGGGAGGUGGGGGGGGUGGGAGGCUCCGUUCACCCUUUCAGGGCCCGGUGUCUCCUGCUCCCGGGUGCGGCAUUGGUAUGCAUGUCCAAGGGCUCUUGGAGCUAGUGGGGGUCUGCUGGACACCCUGGCCUCUGCAUCCCCACCUCCAACUUCCCGAGAGAAGCCUGGGCCUUCCACUCGCUCCCCAGAAGGGUCUGCCCACGGGGCCACAGUAGGACUGGACUUGCCAGGGAGAGGGAAAGGAGAGUGAUCUCUCAGCCUGGUAGGCCCACUCUAGCUGCCUCCGGAGAGAGGAAGGAGUGUUCGCGGAGGAACCUGUGGGCUGAUGUUCGGUGUCCCCGCCCAGCUCACCAGGCCUGCUCUGCUGAGUGAGCAGAGUUCACCCGGAUUCCUUCCACUCACCGCAGGACCCAGCCCCCCCGGGGGACCGGGGUCACCGCAGCCGCGGGGGCGCUGCCCGCUGGCGGGGGACAGGCUUCCACAGGCAGGGGGACAGCCUGCCAGUGUCGCGUCCCAGGGGAGUGGCUCCAGAUGGCGUCUGGUGGGAAAUACAAUGUGGAUCCUAGUACCCCGUCCUCACCCAGAUUAACUCCCGAUGGGUGGAAGAUAGAGCUGUUAAAAGAGAAGCCAUCACGGUCUUCAAGGAAAACAGGGGUCUGAGUUUGGGUUCCUCUUGGGAGAAGUUUCUCGGCAGAAACGGCACAAGUUUCAAGAACUUGGGCUGAUUAAAGUUUUAGCUUUCAUUUCAAAACAUACUGAAGCUUAAAUUAACAGGCAAAAGAAAUGCUGGGGAAGGACCGACGGCCCCAGACAGAGAGAGCAUUGUAAGGGGUGCACCACGACCUCAGAGCGGCUGUCUGAGCCUCCGUUUCUCCCCUCCAGCAAGGUGUCACAAGGGCAUGAGGACUCCCUCAGAUAAAUCUAGAAAGCUGUGCCCCAAAAAAAGCGUCUUUGCUAAAAGGAAGCUGUUCAAUAAAAUUCUUUACAUUUUU
rnacentral:lncRNA from 1 species